rnacentral:rRNA from 1 species
CGCGGCAAGACGGAAAGACCCCGUGAACCUUUACUAUAGCUUGACACUGAACACUGGUCCUUGAUGUGUAGGAUAGGUGGGAGGCUUUGAAGUGUGGACGCCAGUCUGCAUGGAGCCGUCCUUGAAAUACCACCCUUUAAUGGCUGGUGUUCUAACGUGGGCCCCUGAUCGGGGUUGCGGACAGUGUCUGGUGGGUAGUUUGACUGGGGCGGUCUCCUCCUAAAGAGUAACGGAGGAGCACGAAGGUCAGCUAAUCCUGGUCGGACAUCAGGAGGUUAGUGCAAUGGCAUAAGCUGGCUUGACUGCGAGCGUGACGGCGCGAGCAGGUGCGAAAGCAGGUCAUAGUGAUCCGGUGGUUCUGAAUGGAAGGGCCAUCGCUCAACGGAUAAAAGGUACUCCGGGGAUAACAGGCUGAUACCGCCCAAGAGUUCAUAUCGACGGCGGUGUUUGGCACCUCGAUGUCGGCUCAUCACAUCCUGGGGCUGAAGUAGGUCCCAAGGGUAUGGCUGUUCGCCAUUUAAAGUGGUACGCGAGCUGGGUUUAGAACGUCGUGAGACAGUUCGGUCCCUAUCUGCCGUGGGCGCUGGAGAAUUGAGGGGGGCUGCUCCUAGUACGAGAGGACCGGAGUGGACGCAUCACUGGUGUUCGGGUUGUCAUGCCAAUGGCAUUGCCCGGUAGCUAAAUGCGGAAGAGAUAAGUGCUGAAAGCAUCUAAGCACGAAACUUGCCCCGAGAUGAGUUCUCCCUGACUCCUUGAGAGUCCUGAAGGAACGUUGAAGACGACGAC